rnacentral:ncRNA from 1 species
AAGACUGGGGCACGCAAACUCCCAACAGCUUGUACCGAAUCCGCAGCAGGUCUCCAAGGUUUAGAGUCUCUAGUCGAUAGAUUAAUGUAGGUAAGGGAAGUCGGCAAAUUAGAUCCGUAACUUUGGGAUAAGAAUUGGCUCUGAAGACUGGGAUGACUCGGGCUAUAAUCGGCAAUAUUACCAUGCGUGCCGUACCGUUGACUGAAAACAUUCUUGAUGCUACUAUUUUGUCAUUGUAAUUUUGACCACGUUUAUCUAAGCGGCUUUCAAGUCGACGUGAACGACGAUUUUAGAGUAGCUAGUAUUAAAACAUUUGACACUCUAUUUCCAAAACAAAAUUAUAUCUCCAAGACUU